rfam:Lepisosteus oculatus linkage group LG1, whole genome shotgun sequence.
GCCAGUAGCCAUAUCGCCCUGCAACUCACAACUGGCAACCCACUGAAGCUCAGCAGGUGUGAGCCUGAUCAGUACCUGGAUGGGAGACCUCCUGGGAAAAAAAAGGUUGCUGCUGGAA